rnacentral:lncRNA from 1 species
AGAAAUCAAACCAUGUUUUAGUAGAUUAGUAGUGCAUGUCAAAAUCACCUUUGCACAUUAACAUAUAUAGCCAAUAAUCUAGGGGAAUCUCAUAGGUUGGCUCUAAACAGAUGAAAACAAGAGAUAAGGGAUGAAACAUAUUUAGGUAUAAAAAAAAAAAUCCUCGUCAAAAAUUAGAAGUUAACAAUAUUUAUAUGCAAUCAGUCGUAUCAUAUCAUAUCGUAUCAUAUCAUCAGGCGUCAUGUUAUGAUUUAACCAGCACUCAUAAGAGAAACCAUGUGCAGUUUAAAAGGUCUGUAACCGAUCGUAUACAUUAGAAUCCAUGACACUAUUAGCUUUCUAGGUGCUUUCUGGAAGAUAAGCAUUGCAUUACCUGUUGGUGCACGAUUCAAUAAGGCCUGGGACCAUUCAUAUAUAUAUAUAUAUAUAUAUAUAUAUAUAUAUAUAUAUCUUUCAAUUGAGAUUUCCCUUUAUCUUUCAUAUCUAAAGCACGAACAGCCAGUCAGAUUUCAGAAAUCCCAGUUCUUCUUUAUCAUUCUAUAGUUGGACUUGUAGAAUCGACUACGAAGUGUUGAAGGGUAGUUUAAUGUAUGCAUACAUGUAAUGAGUGAUCGGAAAUUGCAGUUUGCAUUUAUGAGAAUGUGAAGAUUCAUAGAUUGACACCCCGAUCCACCUAAGAAUCCAUCCGGGAAAGAAACCAAAUUCAGCCUCAUGGAUUCAGAAAAAUAUUGUUUUUGUCAAGUAACAACUAGAUAUUGUGACAUUCAAUCGAUUGGUCUAUUGACUCUAUUCAAUGAGUUGUUGCUUAAUUGACUAGCUUGUAGCUAAUAUUUGGAAUUUAGUGUUUACUCAAGGAUAAUGUAAGUUUAAAAACUUCCACUUCUGAAUACAUUGCAAGUGGCGUAUUAGUCUAGCAUCAGAGAAACCCUAAACUCAAGUUUGAUUUACGAAGCUGUUAGAAUGGUCAGACAAUGUGCUGUAAAUCUGAAAUACAUAGUUGAACCAUUUCAUAUGCGUUGAGAGAUUACAUCCGAAACCUAAAAAGCUUUUGAAUUACCCUAACACUAAAAAAAAUAUUUUCACUUCUGAUGGAGCCCCAAAAAGGAGCUUAAGCGAGUGAACUUUGAGCGAGUAAUGAAAUUCAAAACAAAUGGCCAUACAGAUUGAAACAAAACAAGAACCUACAUUCUCUCUAACCCCAUUUUUUGGAAAACUUUCUCUCAUAAUGUUUACAUGUCCCUUAACAUAAGCUUCACAAGUAUUGCAUUCCCUUGCCCUUAAAUAAAUACAUGUACAAUCUACAAUCUACACUUGAUAAUAUUGGGAUAAACAAACUUUUGCUGGACAAUUAGGCCAGUUAGCUCUUAUCCGUAAAAAAUAAUGCAAAAUUGGUAAAAUUGAUUCACUCCCUAUGCCUAUCAUUGCCCUACCUUCAAAGUAUGCAAAAUUACACCAAUGAUCGAUGACAACAGAUUCAAUACAUACGACAAGACGUGUACGUACACACACUAAGAAUAUUCAUUAGCUUCACCCAAAUAGUUGACUCCUGCUUUGAUACACAUUACACUCGUACUCAUUUCUUGACUCUUCCGUAUCCAUCGUCAUUUGCUGAUCCAUGAGCUGCGAUAGAGACAGUUAUAGACUCGUGGACGACUUUCAACCGUUGAUGUACGUACAUGAUGAACGAUUAGGAAUCACUCGAUGCGCUGGCCAUAGCAUUUGCUUCCCUUAUAUCUAGACCGAGUUUGCUCACUAUAACCAUCUAUAUAAGCACAUUACUCCUCACACCAUCAAACACAAAUUUUUAGGCCUGUAGUGCAUUAAGGUCAUGCAAAUGGAAACCACCGAUAAUGAGCAACGUAAAGCCGCCGCCCUGAAAAGGUUGCUGCUCAUUCUGAGCAGCGUACUCUUAUCCAUAGGCACCUGCGGCGGCCCUUUGAUAAUGCGCCUCUACUUCAUCCACGGCGGCAAACGCGUCUGGCUUUCGAGCAUGCUCGAAACCGGUGGCUGGCCUGUGAUCCUCGUCCCAAUAGCCAUAGCCUACUACCACCGCCGCAAAAACCAAGCUCCAACCGACCCACCAACCAAGCUCUUCUUCAUGAAGCUUCCUCUCUUCGUUGCCUCUGCUGUCAUCGGCGUUCUCACCGGCCUCGACGACUACCUCUACGCCUACGGCGUUGCACGCCUCCCCGUCUCCACCUCAGCCCUGAUCAUCGCUGCGCAGUUAGCUUUCACGGCCUUGUUUGCCUUCAUACUCGUGAAGCAGAAGUUCACGUCGUAUUCGAUAAACGCCGUCGUGCUGCUGACGGUGGGGGCGGCGGUUCUUGGCCUGAACACGAGCUCGGACCGGCCCAAGGGGGAGUCGAACGCGCAGUACAUGCUAGGGUUUGUGAUGACGGUGGCCGCGGCGGCGUUGUAUGGGUUUGUGCUGCCGUUGGUGGAGUUGAUGUAUAAGAAGGCCAAGCAGAACAUCACGUACGCUUUGGUUUUGGAGAUUCAGAUGGUUAUGAGUUUGUUUGCUACCAUCUUCUGUACGGUUGGGAUGCUGGUGAACAAUGACUUCAAGGUUAGUACAACGAUUUCUCUGAUUAAUUCUAGCCAAUUGCAGCAGCACUGGAAUAGUCUAAAUCGAUUAGUACAAUUUAUCAUUUAACCACAGACCAAGAAUUGUCCAGUUUUUCAAUUAUUGCAGUGGAAUGCGACGGCAUUUAUUGAAUGAUGAGGAAAUUAUUUGUGCAUAUCGUUUUAGAUUCUUUUUAUUAUUAUUAUAGAUUGUAAAAAGACUUUCCGCCUUUUAAGAUCAAUGAUGAACUAUAUGAUAAUAUAGUAUGAACACACUUUUAUUUUAGAAGGAAUAGUGUAUGAAAAUACUGGAAUGAAAAAAGUGGCAUGAUGAAUCCACUAUUGAACACCUUUAUGCCAGUGACGAUGAACUUGGAUGGAGAAACUAAUUUUGGAAAAGUUUAUGAAACUUAUAAUGCAUGUAAAAAGUAGCAAUGUAUACUUUAAUUUACUCGUAUUCGGUUGUUUUUGUUUCUGAAUGCUCCAUUGUGUUCUUGUUGAUCUCGUUUUCUAUAUUUAAGUUCUGGAAAGAAAUAUUAUGUCACUAAUAGCUGCUUGAAAUUUUGGAAGAUACGAAGUUUUUGGAACAUAUAUGUAGUCUAAACAUAGAUUUAUAUAUUGUGUAGGUGAUUCCUAGAGAAGCGAGGAAAUUCGAGCUUGGGGAGACUACGUACUAUGUGGUGCUUGUAGUGAGUGCAAUAGUCUGGCAAACUUUCUUCUUGGGAGCCAUAGGACUCAUCUUCUGUGCCUCGUCUCUUCUAUCCGGAAUCGUAAUCGCUGUUCUGCUCCCGGUAACUGAGAUCUUUGCUGUUAUUUUCUACCACGAAAAGUUCCAAGCAGAAAAGGGGGUCUCUCUUGCACUCUCCCUCUGGGGGUUUGUCUCAUACUUCUACGGCGAAAUCAAACACAACAAACAAAAGAAGCAAGCAGAUGCAGUUAAGGAAAAGGAAAACAACAAAGAAGGUUGUACCCCCGACGUAGAAAACCUUCAGACAGUUCCAAAUCCAUGAGAGCACAAGCUGUAAUUUCUAUGUUUUCUUGCUCGUGGAUUUUGUGAACAAGGCUUUGCAAAAGUAGGCAUUUUCGAGGGAAAGGCUGCAUUUGGCAUUAUAUGCUUCAUGUUUCGGGCGGCAAAACCCAUUUUUUCCCAGUGGUAUUCAUAUUGGUUGGAAUAAAAGCCAUAGAUUAUUAACCAAAUAUAAGAAACGUCGUCAGCCAUAUUGGCUGCGUGCAAGUGUGCAGCAACUAUGAAGGGCUCAUGAUAUACAUAAUAAAUUUCAACACCUAAAUGCGUCCAAAAGUGAAUCUACAAUCCACUAAGAACACUACUUUCCUUGUGUGGCUAAUUACAUAAACAACUCCAAUUGCUUAAUAUAUAUCUUUGAGAUAUCUCUUUUCCCGGUUGCCCCAUUCUAUUUAGGUUUGCCAAAACCUACUCGUUCAUCCAUUCUUGUAAUACAAGUACUUCUAUAUAACAUUUGAACCUUUGAUGGUUCACAUCAAUUCGACAGUUUUGGCAAAGAACUAUAAAUAUCGACUACGGUGAAAAUUAAAUUAGAGAUAUGCUUGUUAAUGGUCAAUGAACUAUGAUUGAAAUGUCGCAAAAUGACAUGCAUAUUGAUCUUAAAAACAUCAUUGAACCCAAAAUUGCUUGAAACCUAGUUCAUCGGGUCGGUAUGUUUAUGUAAUAAUCCUGUCACUUUUGAUAAUGAAUAUAGUUUUAUUCUAUUGAUAAAGAAUGCAAAACAACAAAUUACAAAAGUGACUUUUAAAGCCACCGAAGGAGAUUUUUCUAUAGGUCAGAUCCUGCAAGUGAGGGUCCAAAGCACUACAUGAUGCACAAGAGUAGUCUACCAUUGUUAAUGUUAAUCUAUCAUUAUAAUUUAGACAGCUGCAUAAAAUAGACCAUAAAAGUAAACAAAAACUCACACUCAACCUUUUCCUUUCAAUCUGUUUUCUCUUCCCUUUUGCAUAAGAACACGAAGGAAACGAACAAAAUCAUGAGGAAAUAUCUUAAUAAAAGCCAUACUUCACACUUCCUUAGUUUAUGGACUCCAAUUAGUUGGCAUAGGUACCAAUGUACCAUAUAUGGUUACAAGGUAUAGGAAUCAUCUUUUCGAUUUCAUCUUUGCUAUCUGGUAUUGUAAAUCAAGAUUCUAAUCACAACAACCAUAACCAAAACACUAUCAAUUUCAAAACACAGCAUGACAGAGAAAAUAGAAAAUAAUGCAAAAUGUUUUAGUUUUUCGGAGGUCAAACAUUUAUAUCUAUAAGAAGUAAUUUUUCUGGAUGUACAUUUUCCUCCCGAUAAAGCCUGUAGGAGUGUAACUAACUUGCACCAGCAUACAUUCCUCCAAUAAAGAAGUCAACUACUACAUUUCAAUGUAAAUCAAGUAAUGUGGAAUGCAAAGGAAAGUGCAACUGCAAUUUAUGAGGAUUAAAAGUGAGGCUAGAAAGUCACUACUGCUCAAAACAGCUCCGACACAAAGACAUAAAGUGAGGCAACUAAUGUCCAGAGACCGAAAUCAUUUCAAGUCACACACCCCUAAUAAUAUGUCAAAGAGACUUUAUUUCAAGCAGCACUUAGGUUUGUCACUAAAACAGAGUCUAGAUUCUUUAGUAACAUAAGAACAAAGAACUACUGUUAAAAUGGCGUUACAGCUGUUUCAGAGAAAUAAUUUGACAACAAAACUAUUUCAUAUACAGAUAAUAAUGCAUCAUACAAAAUCAGAUACUAACAAUAUCUACCAGACAUCCAACAAUUUGCAACAUCAUGACAGUAAAACUGUGAAUAGAAAGAUAGUCAGAAGUUUUCAAUGGGAAUAUGGACAUUGCUAAAGGCACUCACUUUUACCAAUUUUUUAAAAUCAAGUCGCAUUUACUUUAACAAACAAGUGAAAGAAAAUACCAAGUAGCCUGAUGAUUGCUUUCAAUAUGCAACUUUUAUGCCAAAGAGAAAAACAAAUUGACAAUCAAAUGAGAUUCAGUGUGAAGAUCUGCAGAGAAUUAUACAAGACGGUCACUAUUUGUUAACUUAAUAUUAGAUAUGUUCAACAGAUCGAUCACACCGAUAUCGACAGUGAUUUAAUUUAGCGCGGAAUUAACUAAUAAUAUAAGUUGUGUUUAGGCGCGGCUCAAAUGAAAAUAGGAUAGAAUUGAUUCUAAACAAUUUCUGCAAUAGGUAGAUAGCUAGAUAGCUAGACAAAUUAGUUUAAUAUGUAAAAAGGAUCGAUUAGGUAGAUCUGAUGAGGGAUCAUGCAUUCAUUUUUACAUAAAGGAUCGGAUUAAUCUCCUUGUAAUAUCCAUUUUUCAACUCUCUCAUGAUCACACUAAUUUGACGUCCUACAUACAUGCAUGCAUGAACUUUCUUAAGGCUAGGGGAUCAAGGAAACGAUAUCAGAAGUUGAAGAAGAGAAAACUGAUUAAUCAGCUAGCCUCUUAUUCUAAACUCAAAUAAUGUUCCAUCUGAUAUCUUUUGCACGCAACAAAUUCCUGGACCCAAUUUCUUAUUAUUCACGAUUCAUGAAAGGUGCAUAUGAUUGAUGAUUUAGGCCGCUCUCUAGUGAUCUCCAUGAAUGUACGUAUCUAAUUAUCAACAAAAUAAUAUAUGCAGCAGGGAAAAUCAGGAGGCACAUCGAUCAUUCUACAUAACAGAACUUCUAGAGUUCUAGUUAGAUCGAUCGAUGGAUAAAACAUGUACGUGAGACUAUGGGCAGUAUCUUGAUGUCUCAUCUGAUCAUGGAAAAAAUGAAAUCAGGCAAGUGCAUCAAACUAUUUGAGAUGUACGUUGUCAUGCACGUCCUAAUUAGUCGAGGUAUAUAUGUGAAACGACAGAGGCGAACCCAAAAGCAUGCAUGGAUUUAGUUCCGCCGGCGGCAAACAGUGACGUACAAGGCCCUUCGAAAUUAGGUCAAAAACUAAACCUCGGCGAGUGGAUAUUCAAAUACAUAUCGUCCGGGCUAGUGACAUGACGGAAAAGCUUACAUGCAAAUCGGAUUAAUUUUGCCAGUCUCAUCCGGAACCACUAAACCAACACUAGCAGAUUGACGUACUGCUCGAGUAUUGGGACAAAAUGCCCCAACUUGAAAUCCUAGAUUCAUCACAUUCAGCUAGCUAUUCAAAAACUUAAAAGCUCUGGUUUUUCUUUGGUUGGAUCACUGGGAUGGAAGUACAGGCCCAAAUAACAAAACAGAAUAAUCACCAAUCUUCAAAACUUGUUGAAAUGGGCUCGAAUUCCAGUCGGACCAUGCUGGGUCUAACGGUCUUACUCCUCUUAAGAUUGCAUUAUAUUAGGAAUGGAUUACCUGAAUGUUCCCUUGAACCCAGACAAAUACUUUGGAUUGAGUUGGAUUACCGGGCAUGGAAAUAGAUGGAUGACUUGUCUGUAAAAGUCAUUUGGAACAACAAGUACUCACCUAAUGGUAAAAAGAAAAAUAGUUACGGUGAGGUUUCGAUAAAGUCUUUGCUGUUUUUCUUUUUCUCUCUCUAAGCAUUUUUAAAAAGUGAGGGAAAAAUGUUACAAACAUAUACAACGUAACAAAAAAAACUUAUUUGAUGAAAUGGGCUCUAGGAGUUGUAUACUCUUAGAAUGAAUGGACUCACAUAUAUUGUUGUCAUUGAAAUGGACAAUGAAGAGUUUAAAUUAGUAUAAAAUGGUCAUUUAUGUGAAGGAAAAAAAAAACAUGAAGUGAAUCAAACAAUAAAUUAAAAGGUAGAAAACAACCAAGCCGCUGAAAAUUUCUUUUCCAAUGGUAUUGCACAUCAAUCAGGAUCCCACUUACAUUCCCACAUGAGAUCAUGUACGCUUCUAUGAUCAAAUAUGUGAUUCAAACAGAAUAUUUUGACAAAGCAAAAGGAUCAAUGUCUCACCGCAUCCAUGUUGAGAGGCUGAUUUCUUACAUGUGCACCUGUACGUUGUUCCAUGUUCUUUCUCUGUCAACAAGUCUGCCCUUGUAUAUAUGUAAUGUACUAACGUAAUUAUAGUUUGUACAUCUUAAAGACAACGUAGCUAAUUCAGAUUAUGGUAUAUGAUUACUUGCAUCAUUUUAAUUUCUUUCACCUUUUACACAAAUAGGUUACUUGCAUAAUUUUAACUGAUUUCAAAACCAGAUGAAGAAUUCAUGAGUUCUCUCUAGCUUGUGCAUGUAUACUGAUUUGCAAUCAAAUGACCAUGCCUAUAUAUUUUCUUGACCAGCCAUACAUAUAGAAUCCAAACUAUUCAAGUGAAAAGAAAAAAAAGAAAUCAAACCAUGUUUUAGUAGAUUAGUAGUGCAUGUCAAAAUCACCUUUGCACAUUAACAUAUAUAGCCAAUAAAUAACUAGGGGAAUCUCAUAGGUUGGCUCUAAACAGAUGAAAACAAGAGAAAAGGGAUGAAACACAUUUAGGUAUAAAAAAGAAUCCUCAUAAAAAAUUAGAAGUUAACAAUAUUUGUAUGCAACCAGUCGUAUCAUAUCAUAUCGUAUCGUAUCAUCAGCAGUUUAAAAGGCAUGUAACCACUUGUAUAUAUACGAUCGAUGACACUAUUUGCUUUCUGGAAGAUAAGCAUUCCAUUACCCGUUGGUGCACGAUUCAAUAAGUGGGACCAUUCAUAUAUCUUUCAUUUUUUUUUUCUUUUUUUCUGAGAAUGUCAUAUAUCUUUUAAUUGAGAUUUCCCUUUAUCUUUCAUAUCUAAAUCACGAACAGCCGGUCAGAUUUCAGAAAUCCAAGUUCUUCUUUAUCAUUCUAUAGUUGGACUUGUAGAAUCGACUAUGAAGUGUUGAAGGGUAGUUUAAUUUAAUAUAUGCAUGCAUGUAGUGAGUGAUCGAAAAUUGCAGUUUGCAUUUAUGAGAAUGUGAAGAUUCAUAAAUUGACAAGAUUCAUAGAAUGUGAAAAUUGCAGUUUGCACCCCGAUCCACCUAAGAAUCCAUCGGGGAAAGAACCAAAUUCAGCCUCAUGGAUUUAGAAAAAACAAUGUUUUUGUGAAGAUAUUGUGAUCGACCUUCAAUCGAUUGGUCUAUUAGUUGUUGCUUAAUUGACUAGCUUGUAGCUAAUAUUUGGAAUUUAGGGUUUACUCAAGGAUAAUGUAAGUUUAAAAACUUCCGCUUCUAAAUACAUCACGAGUGGCGUACUGGUCUAGCAUUAAUAAGAGAAACCCUAAACUCAAGUUUGAUUCACGAAGCUGUCAGAAUGGUCAGACACUAUGUUGCAGAUCUGAAAUACAUAGUUGUACCAUUUCACAUGUGCCGAGAGAUUACAUCCACUAUAGGAAAUCGCCUCUUAGCCGACAGAAAAUAAUAAAUCCAUCGGCUAAGUACGUAUUCGCCAACGGAAACACCAACCGUCGUCUAAGACUCCACAGCCGUCGCCUAAGAUCUAUUUACGCGAUGGAAAUUGACUGUCGAGGACGUCCGUCGACUGAGACAUGUCUACCCGACGAAAUAGGAUUUGUCGUCUAAGCUCCGUCGACUUACUAACUCCCAGGCGACGAAAUAUGUUCGUCGGCAAUAUUUCGUCGGCUUAGUAAGUCUUACGCGACGAAAACUGAUUGUCGACGACCUCCGUCGCCUAAGAUCUUCCUAAUCGACGAAAUUGGCUCGUCGUCUAAGUUCAGACGAUUUAGAUACUCCUAGACGGCGAAAUAGUUCCGUCGGUAUAGUUAGUCUUGGGCGAUGAACCUGUGUCCGUCUGGUAAGUUGAUCCUGGGGGACGAACCUUUUGUCGUCAGCUAAGUAAGUCUUGGGUGAUGAAUAUGUCUUACUUAGCCGACGACCUGUUCCGUCGACUAAGAAAUGCCUUUAUUUCCUGACAUAACACAGAACGAAUAUAUUUCCUAGCCGACAGAUUUUGUCUUAGGCGACGGAAGGUUUUGUCGGUUAAGUGAAACACAUCAUUUACUCAACCUCUGCCUAGAAGAGAACAAAUUUGAAGACUUUGAAACCGAGUCAUCCAAACCGAGUUUUGGAAACUUUUCUUCAAGAUUUUGAUCGAUCUUCGAAAGCUGCUUCUCUCCUAAUUGGUAUGUAACUUUAAUUCAUCUACUUUCUUAAUUUAGUCAUAUUUUCCAGUGAACUUUCUGGCGACUUUGUCGGUCUAAUUUUGAUGGAAUGUUGCUUACUUCUGAGGAUAAUAUAAUUACUGGAUUGCUUGAUGCAUGAUAUAUGUAACUUUUGUGUGUAUAUAUGUUGAAAUAAUUACAAAAUUUUUAGAGUGUAUAUAUAUAUAUAAUAUAUAUAGAUAUAUACAGUCUGUUUCUGGUGCCGACGUCAGUACAGGUUUUCCCUACGGAUUUCCGCCGUUUCUCCACCAUUCCAGCGCCGGCGACGCCGUUUUCUUCUCCCCAGCGUGAUCCCAGACCUCCCCUGACGGUGUUGGAAUGAAGAAGAAGGCCGGAGAGAUCGCGAUCAGAGGUCUGUGCAGCAAUCUCACACAGAACUUCACAACAGAUCAUGGUGGACCUCCGAUCGCAAUCUCUCCUGCCUUUUUCUUCAUUCUAACACCGUCGGGGAGGUCUGAGAUCAAGCCGAGGAGAAGAAACAGCGUCGUCGGUGCUGGAAUGGUGGAGAAACGACGGAAAUCCGUAUNNN